AGUAGCUAGUUAACAAAAUUCAUGCAUUUGCUAUUUUAAAACUACAGCAAAAAAAAGCAUGGAGACAAGGCAACACAACAAGUUAAAGAUCAUGUGUUUCCUAGUUAACGUCCUGUAUCAACUACUAAAACUCUAGAAGAAAUAUGAAUAUAUUUAGAGGUUACAAACCAGUGUAGGCAAGCCCUCCGACACUUCCGUGUACGUGAUUUCUACACGAUAUCCUCCCUCUUCUGACUCUAUAUCUUCAACACACUGCUCUUUGCCUUUUGCAUUUCUUUUGCUCAGGGUCGCAUCCUUCGUCAUCCAUGUCAGUGUCUGUGCACUGUUGUAUUCAUAAAUGUAUAUGAUACAUUAGUGUUGAAAACAAGUUUAAAAAAAGAGGGGGUAGGACAAAGUAUGACAAAGAAGAAGCUAAAAUCAUGGCACUAGCUAGAAGAGAAUUGCUACUACUAGUUUGUAAAUCAGCAUUUCAUGCCCCCCUGGUGCACAAAAAAAAUGCUAGCGACACUAUCUCUAGGAUUGAACACAUGCACAUUUAAAAAAACCUAAACAGAAAAAAAACAAUCUGAACAUAUAUCCAGCAGCUACUAGUUGUGAUCUAUGUUAUGUAAAACAUUCAUCCCAACACACACGCGCGCGCAAAGCCCGGGAUUGGGUAGCCAGCUUUUACAAAUGAUUUGAUGUUUGUUAUCUCAAGCAGGGCUUUGUCAAGCCUACAAAAAAUCUGGCUAGCGUAACAAAGACACCAUCGUUGUCAUUAUAGUAAACAAAAACUGAACCUGGAACAGGCAUACACAUUGUAUCGACUCUACUUCAGGAAUAUACAAACUUUAGUGAUUGCUUGAGUUAAAAAAACAAGUCAAAAAAUAUAUAAUCAUUCCCCUGGGAUCCCACAAUGUCAUUGCCCCUCAAACAUCUCCCAAAUCAUGUCCACCCCUCCCCACUCCCCCGAGCAACUGAUCUGCUGCUAGUAUUUGAAAAUGUAAGCAUGCAUCGACACACAGCGAAAACAGUCACCAAAAAUUACAGCCCCCGUCAGCACACAUGACAUCACAUCCAUGUUGACCGCAGAAAAAAGAGAGGACUUAGUGCUACUGUAGUUAGCAAGUGUCCGUUUGAAAAAAGAGUGUUGUGGAAGCACAUAAGGUUGAUGCCAAGUUAAACUUAAGCAAUACGCACCAUGCAGAUAUAUUUUGGUCCAUUUUCAUUCUUUAAACAAAAGCCUUCCUACCAAAUACCACUGCUAACAAUCCCUCUAAUUCAGCUACAAACUCAACAAGACUAUUCCUGCAAAAACUACUACACGGUUUCAGAGAACUAAAAAAAUGACAAACAAACACACAUUCAGGUUAACUCAGGUGAAAAGAACUCUCUGCAAAAUCCAGCUUCACCAGGGACUUCUCGACCUAAAAAUAAUCAAAAGAGGAACUAUUUGUACUUAAUGAACCCAUCUCUAGCAGUACACUUGCAAUUAGGAUAUUGGGAAAACAAAAUCAAAACGAAAGUAAGGUGCAGAUCCAAAAAAAACAAUGCGUGAGCUUACUCUGAAUAAACAUCAUGCUUACAUGCGUCAGGUUUUGGAUGGAUUUAAAAUUCGAAAUCAAAAGCUAGUCUCACCUCUAGCUGCUUAGGUUAGUACAACAAUGGUCUCACCUUUUUUGCAUGACUAAUGUCGGACAUGCAACUGUCUCCCUUCUCCUCGUCGCCCCCUCCUCCUGACAAAACAAAGGCGAGUUGCAACCAGGUUAGAAAACAUGCAUAUGUGGUUGGGGGCGUCGCUUGCAGUUACAUGGCUAGCGUUAAACAUGUAACUGCCCCCAUCUCCCUGCCACCCCUCUGACAAAACAAUACCUAGUCGCAACCAUGUUGGAAGACAUGCAAUUGCAAUCGAGGGUGAUGCUUGCAGUUGCAUAACUAGUGUCGGACAUGCAACUAUCCCCCCUCUCACCAUCGUCCCCUCCAACAAAACCCAGUUGCAACCAUGUUGGAAGACAUGUAGUUGUAGUCAGAAGCGACACUUGCAGUUGCAUGCCUAGUGUCAGAGAUGCAACUUACACAUUCCAUCAAAACAAAAAGGCGUUGCGACUACAUUGGAAGGCAUGCAGUUGCAGUCCGGGGUUGACAAUUGCAGUUGGAUGCCUAG
rnacentral:lncRNA from 1 species